UACGGGGGGAGCAAGCGUUGUUCGGAUUUACUGGGCGUAAAGGGCGCGUAGGCGGCGCGACAAGUCACUUGUGAAAUCUCCGGGCUUAACUCGGAGCGGCCAAGUGAUACUGUCGUGCUAGAGUGCGGAAGGGGCAACUGGAAUUCUCGGUGUAGCGGUGAAAUGCGUAGAUAUCGAGAGGAACACCUGCGGCGAAGGCGGGUUGCUGGGCCGACACUGACGCUGAAGCGCGAAAGCCAGGGGAGCGAACCGG
rnacentral:rRNA from 1 species